rnacentral:rRNA from 1 species
GAUGAACGCUAGCUACAGGCUUAACACAUGCAAGUCGAGGGGUAACGAGAGGAAAGCUUGCUUUCCCUUGUCGACGACCGGCGCACGGGUGAGUAACGCGUAUCCAACCUGCCCCCAACUAGGGAAUAACCUUGCGAAAGUAAGACUAAUACCCUAUAAUUUCCUCAGAUGUCAUCUGACGAGGAAUAAAGAUUUAUCGGUUGUGGAUGGGGAUGCGUCUGAUUAGCUUGUUGGCGGGGUAACGGCCCACCAAGGCAACGAUCAGUAGGGGUUCUGAGAGAAAGGUCACCCACAUUGGAACUGAGACACUGUCCAAACUCCUACGGGAGGCAGCAGUGAGGAAUAUUGGUCAAUGGGCGGAAGCCUGAACCAGCCAAGUAGCGUGCAGGAUGACGGCCCUAUGGGUUGUAAACUGCUUUUAUACAGGAAUAAAGUUAGCCACGUGUGGUUAUUUGUAGGUACUGUAUGAAUAAGGACCGGCUAAUUCCGUGCCAGCCGCCGCAGUAA